rnacentral:lncRNA from 1 species
GGAGCGGGAGUGGGAGUGCUCAGUCUCUCGGGUCGCCUGGAUAUUUAUGAAAAGGACGCCAGGGAAAGGGCUCCGCUGUAGACCGAAGGGAUAAGGGUUCGAUUCAGAAGGGAGCGUUAUUUUUAUCCCCUCUCCACAUAAUGGAACGUUUAAAUGGUUAAAUCAAGUACCUUGCAGGAGAGGGUGGGGUGGCCUUGAGAAUACACUCAAGGCCUCAGUACAUGCAGUCUGGAAGUGGGGGAAUCAAGAGCACCCUGUCUCUAGUACUGUCCUCAAUGAUAAGGUGAGGAAAGCCAAACCCAGGACUGGGAACAGGGCCUGGUCCAGAGCCAGGCGCUUGUUUAUUCUUGACUCUGCUCUCAAGGCGCUGAGGUUCCCAACCUGGACCAAGAAGUACAUAUUCAGGUUCAAAGGAUAAACCAAAACAAAACCUGAGCUCUCUCUCUAGAAUGAAGUGCCUGGUCCCAGUUCACCAUCUAAUAUUUAUGGAAAGCUUAUCAGAGAACAGAAGUGUCAGCAGAGGACUGUAAGUGCUAUGUGAUUGGACGACGGUGGCCAUAGAAUUUCACCUGCCCAGCACGUAUUCUCUCAUCCUCUCCUCCUCUGCCUUCUUUGGGAGGGAGAAAUCAGAAGGAGUGGGGAUGCAGUUCAGAGAGCAGAGGAGAAGAGAAGAAAAGAAGGAAGAAGGAAGAGGACUAGGGUUGGGUGGGGGGGGAGGACACCAAUGGGAAGAGGGACAGAUCAACUCUAUACACAAAAGUAAAUCAAAACACCAAAAACAGGGGUCUAUGUAAAGAAGCCUCUUCCCGUGAAUUGCUCGUUGCAUAGCUGCAGGGAGGGUGUUUAGGGGCAUAGAGAAUGAAAACAUACCUGUAUUUUGGUGUAGGGAAAUUGUUUCUGUCAAUUCACACCGUCCACACACCACCUCCCACCCCAACCCCGCCACUACCAAAUUCCUCUAAAUAAAAAUAAUUAUGAGAUACAGGCCAACAAAAACGUCAGCGUUAGGCUGUUAUUUAGAGAGAAUUGGAAAGCGUUUGAAUGUGGCCCUGUUGUUUAAUAAACGAUAACAAUGAUUA